rnacentral:rRNA from 1 species
GCACGUAUGGUGGGCGACUCUAAGGAGAACUGCCGGUGGACAAACCGGACGGAAGGUGGGGAGUGACGUCAAGUCAUCAUGGCCCUUACGGCCUGGGCUACACACGUGCUACAAUGGUCGGUACAAAGGGUUGCCAAGCCGCGAGGUGGAGCUAAUCCCAUAAAACCGAUCGUAGUCCGGAUCGCAGUCUGCAACUCGACUGCGUGAAGUCGGAAUCGCUAGUAAUCGUGAAUCAGAAUGUCACGGUGAAUACGUUCCCGGGCCUU